UCAUUGUAAUUUUUUAAACGUCAGGGGUAAUUUGUAUAUUAACUCGGAAACUCAGGGGAGGUCAGUGUAAUUUACACUUGAUUCUUUUAAAAUGUACGAUGAUUAACUCUCCACCCAAGAACAUGACCUCGUGUCAUAUUCAUACACACCAGAACUUGUGGCCAUGAGUUUGUGUUUGUUCAGGCUUAUUUUCUGCAUUUUUUAUUUUUUUAAUUAAAAUUUAUGCUAGAGUUUUUGCUACCGUUUCUAUUUCUUGUUUAAUUAUGGACAAAAUGAACUUAAAAAAUCUGAUAAAAAUCAAUUUUUAAAAAAACUACAUUUUAAUAUUUUUCAACUUUCACAUUUUAGUAUUCAAAUUUUAAUAUAAGAUUAGUUAGAAUAAAACACUCAUUGCUUUGGCAAUUUAAAUACCCAAAUGUGGCCAACAGUUAUGUUUUUAUUUUUGCAAGAGAAGACGACAAAAGUCUCUCACCUCUUGGUGAAUGUUAAAUAGUCAAUUAUUCAAUCUAUGUGUAUUAAGUUGCGGACUCGCACAUUGACGAGGACACGAACCUAUACUACUGACAUUGGUACGGUCCUGAAAAAUAUACUCACUAAUCUUUGUACUAAAUGCUGAAAUAGCUGAUCACAAAUGGCAAUAUUCUUCUAGAAAUAAAUGAUAAGACAAAUAAGAUCCAAUCACGUGAUUAUCAAUAUCCAAUCAACUAAUUUUUUCACAAAUCAUACUCUUGGUAAUGGAUUCAUUAUGGUUUGAACUCUACCAGCGUGGUGGCAGGGUGUCAAGUGAACCAACCAAAGUCAAUAAAAAAAUGAAAAAAAUAAUAAUUUAAAAAUGUUGUAAAUUAGUUUCUUUAGAAGCAAUGAUUAGCAGCCCCCAAAAAAGAUAUGAACGUCUCCUUUUUCUGUUGCCACAAGCCCAAUACUAAACCUAGCCCAAAAAAGAAGACCCAAUUGACAAACAGGCCAGGCCCACGGCUUGUGGGUCAAGUCGUAUCCGCUUUGGGAAGACGAACCAUUUUAUCAUUCUGUAUUUGAUGUGAACAGUAAACUAAAAUUGCACUCUUUUUUUUUUAUUGGCACUGAUAAAUUUAUGGGUCAAGGAAAAGACCCAAUUGACAAAAGGGCCAGGCCCACGGCUUGUGGGUCAAGUCGUAUCCGCUUUGUGAAGACGAAUCAUUUGAUCAUUCUGUAUUAUGAUGCAUAUAUAUUUGCUUUUAAUGAUAACACAAUUAAAUCUUUAUUUGAGGUUAAUAAAAAAUAAUUUAAUUUUUUUAUUACAGCAAUCCAUCAUUCACCACAACCGAUCGUAAUAUUAACACAAUGAUGCGUAAAAUAUUAUUUUUUUACUAUUUUUAACAUACACACUCCCAUUAACAUUUAUCACAACUAAUCGUAAUAUUUUUACGGUACACAUGGUAUGUACUAUAACUUUUGUUCAUAAUAAAUAUGUAUUUAUUUUGAAUAUAGGUAGGUGCCAGAUCAUUCCUAGAGGUCUUGAGAGGUUUUCUAGGUGAAGUGAAUGCAUCCUGAUCGAAUAGACAUCAAUCACUAAGUGAUUAUCAAUAUCAAACAUAUGUUGACAUACAUUCCAAAAUUAAGCACUUGAUGGUGGGAAUCCUUGGAAAGUUUUCUUGUUCUCUUUCCCAUUAUAGGAAAGUUAUUAGAGAAGUGAAUGAAUAUGGUUUCAUUAAAGAUAUGAUUCCAUUUGAUGAUGUGUGAUAGGGUCCAUUAUCACAGAAGGCACCUUAAUUACGUGACCUUAGUGAUGGAAUGAAUAUCCUUUCUUAGGUGUAUACAGUCCACAAAAGAAAGUGAUGCGUUUUAAAAAAAAAUUAUGAACCAGUUCGGAUCGUAAUGACUCUUACUCUGUGAUCAAGACGUUACUAAUUUGAGUUCUUUUAGGGUCAGGUUUGUCUAAUCGUUAAUUUCAGAAUUCUUAAAUUAGUUUUUCUUAGACUCAAUUGAGUUGGGUAAGGUUAUUAAACUAUAAAAAUAAAAAAAUAGAGAUAAAAUUGAUUAGGGCAAGUGAUGCAUCGAGAUUAACAAUAUAUUAUAUAUACGCAAACACACACAAAAAGAAGAGUGGAAAUACCAUAAUUGAUUGAACUAAAAUAUAAGUGGUUAAUUUCUUUCAUUGUUUCUAUAAUAUAUUAUAUUCUUUUUUAAUCCUAAGCUUCUGUGCAUCGGAAAAACAACUAUUUUUUUCCUUUCGUAAAUCCCCGGUCGCGUCUUUUAAGCACCCAUAGUAUUCAAAUUUACUCCUUCGUGAUUUGUUUGGAUUAUUGAUUUAGUGACGAAAAAAAAAAAUAAAAGAAAAAAUUGAAUUGAUCUAACAAUUUAAAUUUUUGGAGGGAGUACGAGCCUCUAAAAAUCUCUCCUUAAAUCCAUGAACCUCAUACACCCUUAAUAAAAUUCACACGAAUCACACCCAUAAAUAUAUAUAAAUCUUCUAUGAAAGAUUAAGCAUAUAUACAUAUAUAUCAUAAUGGGAACUGGGGAA
rnacentral:lncRNA from 1 species